CCCGCUGAACUUAAGCAUAUCACUAAGCGGAGGAAAAGAAACUAACAAGGAUUCCCUCAGUAACGGCGAGUGAACAGGGAAAAGCCCAGCACCGAAGCCUGUGGCCAAUUGGUCACUAGGCAAUGUGGUGUUCAGGUCGUUCCGCGGAGGUGCUGCUCCAUUCCAAGUCCAGCAAUGAGUACGGUAAUGCUGACAUGGCCCAAAGAGGGUAAAGGCCCGUGGGGUGGAGAGCAGAAAUGAAGCACCUUCCGGAUAGACCUGGAGUCGGGGGUU
rnacentral:rRNA from 1 species